CCUACGGGUGGCAGCAGUGGGGAAUAUUGGGCAAUGGGCGCAAGCCUGACCCAGCAACGCCGCGUGAAGGAAGAAGGCUUUCGGGUUGUAAACUUCUUUUGUCAGGGACGAAGCAAGUGACGGUACCUGACUAAGAAGCCCCGGCUAACUACGUGCCAGCAGCCGCGGUAAUACGUAGGGGGCAAGCGUUAUCCGGAUUUACUGGGUGUAAAGGGAGCGUAGACGGCAGCGCAAGUCUAGAGUGAAAUCCCCGCGCUCAACGUGGGAACUGCCUUUGAAACUGGCAAACUGGAGUGUGUGAGAGGAUAGUGGAAUUCCAGGUGUAGGAGUGAAAUCCGUAGAUAUCUGGAGGAACAUCAGUGGCGAAGGCGACUAUCUGGCACAUAACUGACGCUGAGGAGCGAAAGCGUGGGUAGCAAACAGGAUUAGAUACCCCAGUAGUC
rnacentral:rRNA from 1 species